rnacentral:rRNA from 1 species
CUCCUUUGACGUUAGCGGCGGACGGGUGAGUAACACGUGGGUAACCUACCUAUAAGACUGGGAUAACUUCGGGAAACCGGAGCUAAUACCGGAUAAUAUUUCGAACCGCAUGGUUCGAUAGUGAAAGGUGGUUUUGCUAUCACUUAUAGAUGGACCCGCGCCGUAUUAGCUAGUUGGUAAGGUAACGGCUUACCGAGGCGACGAUACGUAGCCGACCUGAGAGGGUGAUCGGCCACACUGGAACUGAUACACGGUCCAGACUCCUACGGGAGGCAGCAGCC